rnacentral:rRNA from 1 species
UCAGACGAUGCGUCAUGCAUAUCAAUAAGCGGAGGAAAAGAAACUAACAAGGAUUCCCUCAGUAACGGCGAGUGAAGCGGGAAGAGCUCAAAUUUGAAAUCUUGAAAGGUCACCUUUCACGAAUUGUAGUUUAAAGAAGUGUUUUCUGUUACGAUCGUAAUAUAAGUUCUUUGGAAUAGGACAUCACAGAGGGUGAGAAUCCCGUCUAUGAUUGCGAUUUGUAGCUUUGUGAUACACUUUCAAAGAGUCGGGUUGUUUGGGAAUGCAGCCCAAAACGGGAGGUAAAUUUCUUCUAAGGCUAAAUAUUGGCGAGAGACCGAUAGCGAACAAGUACCGUGAGGGAAAGAUGAAAAGAACUUUGAAAAGAGAGUUAAAUAGUACGUGAAAUUGUCAAAAGGGAAGCGUUUAACACCAGUGUUGUUUUCUGAAAAUCAACCUCUGUUAGCUUUAUGCAUGUUUGUUUAGACCUAAUCAGCUAUCUUGCAUGUUCUAUUGUUUGCAGUGGUGCACUUUUCAGUUUACAGGUCAACAUCAGUUUUUUUUUACCGUAAAAAAGUUAAAGAAAGGUAGCUCAUGGCUCCGGUCGUGAGUGUUAUAGUCUUUUUCCUAUGCGGUAGGAGAGACUGAGGUCUGCAGUGUAGGCUAUUUGGCUAGAUACUCAGGUGCUAUGUGAUACCAUUUCAUAAACAACUUGUUGAUUAUGUUUUGUCUAUUGCAUACUCGCUUGUACUAUCAUACCUACGCUUAGGAUGUUGACUGAUAUGUAGUCGU